rnacentral:lncRNA from 1 species
AAGGCACGAUCUCACUUUGUCACUCAGGGUGGAGUGUGGUGGCGUGAUCGCAGCUAACUGCAGCCUUGACCUCUCAGGCUAAAGCGAUCCUCUUACCAAGACCACAGAAACUGUGAACCCAGGGAAAUCCUCUUUGUCUGGUGUUGUGGCAACUUGGAGGAGGGGAAGCGAAGAUGCAGUCAGAGUGAGACCAUUUUUUUUAGCUCCCUAAUUUGGAUUUUAUUCAGUUUUCUAGACCAUAUGAGUGUCUCGGGCAUGUUUCCAAGUGUCAGGGUUUUCAACAGGACAUUCUAGUCUGUGGAUAGUUGCUAGUUAAACUUUCUGUGUAGAGGUUGGGAGUUCAGAACUUCCUAUUCCAUGAUCUUGCUGACAUCACUCUAUACAUUCUUGUGUAUAUGUGACUUGUGUGUGUGUGUGUGCAUUUAUGUGUGUGCAUUUGUAUGUAUGAUAUCUUGCUGACAUCACUGUAUAUAUUCUUGUGUAUAUGUGAUGUGUGUGUGUGUGUGUGUGUGUGUGUGUGCAUUUGUAUGUGUGUCGUAUUAAGGCCUGAACUUCUUAGAUAUACAGUACCCAGAAUGACAAUGAGUUGAGAAAUUCAACAAAUGGCACAUUGGUGCCUAAAAGAAUGACAUUUCUUCACAUGAAUAAGCCUUUUAUUACUAGUGAUAUAUCCUAGCUCAUUAUGGAAUGAGGUCAAUUAAUAUCAUUUAUUUGUAUAUAUUUAUUACUAUUUCUGUAAAGAUCAGAAGAUUGCAUGCAAACUGCUAUAAAUCAAACAUAUAUUAAUGCUGAACAUAGAAUCUUAAGUCAAGUGAAACUACACUCAAAGUAAACUAGAAAUUAUAAACAUUCAUCAUUUCAAAAUUAAUGUAUAAUAAAAUUACGACUCUUUUAUACUAAACAAUCUAUGGAUAUCAAUAGCAG